UUAUAUACCUGGCAAGGGAGAUACCAUGAUCAUGAAGGUGGUUUUCCCAGGGCAAGGCUUAUCCAUUGUGCUCCAGAUGUGCUGACCCCUGCAAUUUCCCUGAAUGUAGGAAACUCAACUGCAUAAUUUGUGGCAGUAGGUUACUGUGUUCGCACUGUCCCCUG